UACGUAGGGGGCAAGCGUUGUCCGGAUUUAUUGGGCGUAAAGAGCGUGUAGGCGGCUUUGCAAGUCCGUUGUGAAAACUCGAGCUCAACCUCGAGACGCCGGUGGAAACUGCAAAGCUAGAGUCCGGAAGAGGAGAGUGGAAUUCCUGGUGUAGCGGUGAAAUGCGCAGAUAUCAGGAAGAACACCCGUGGCGAAGGCGGCUCUCUGGGACGGUACUGACGCUGAGACGCGAAAGCGUGGGGAGCGAACAGGG
rnacentral:rRNA from 1 species